GCUUAACCGAAGAAGUGCAUCGGAAACUGGGUGACUUGAGUGCAGAAGAGGACAGUGGAACUCCAUGUGUAGCGGUGGAAUGCGUAGAUAUAUGGAAGAACACCAGUGGCGAAGGCGGCUGUCUGGUCUGCAACUGACGCUGAGGCUCGAAAGCAUGGGUAGCGAACAGGAUUAGAUACCCUGGUAGUCCAUGCCGUAAACGAUGAGUGCUAGGUGUUGGAGGGUUUCCGCCCUUCAGUGCCGGAGCUAACGCAUUAAGCACUCCGCCUGGGGAGUACGACCGCAAGGUUGAAACUCAAAGGAAUUGACGGGGGCCCGCACAAGCGGUGGAGCAUGUGGUUUAAUUCGAAGCUACGCGAAGAACCUUACCAGGUCUUGACAUCUUGCGCUAACCUAAGAGAUUAGGCGUUCCCUUCGGGGACGCAAUGACAGGUGGUGCAUGGUCGUCGUCAGCUCGUGUCGUGAGAUGUUGGGUUAAGUCCCGCAACGAGCGCAACCCUUGUUACUAGUUGCCAGCAUUCAGUUGGGCACUCUAGUGAGACUGCCGGUGACAAACCGGAGGAAGGUGGGGAUGACGUCAGAUCAUCAUGCCCCUUAUGACCUGGGGCUACACACGUGCUACAAUGGUCGGUACAACG
rnacentral:rRNA from 1 species